GGAAUUUCAACUUCUUCCGAAACUUGCAAGGAGCCAGCCUAGUGUUGAUAAAUCCAAACUUCAGAAAGCAUCUUCAGUUGAGGAGGUGCUAGAAAUAGCUCAGGAAUCCCUACAAGCUGCAACAAAAUUGAAGAGCAAACCGUUCAGAAAUUUAUAGAAUUCUGUGAAAUCUAAGAUAUGGGUACUUGUCCAAUCAGCUCAGAAAGAUGAUCCAACACAAUUUAUUCUCCGGAUUUGAACUUUCACCUUGUUUUUUCUGAUCUGGGUACUCGUCUUAUUGUCUUUUUCACUGGGGUCCUCUGUUUCAUUACCAUUUGGGCCCGCAGUUUAAGUGUAAUUUGUCCGAUCUUGUUUUCUUCUUUCUUCAAUUUCUGUGAUUCAAAUCCAUGGAAGAAGACCAAGAAUUGAGACAUGUGUGCAAGUUCUGCAGCAAGAGCUUCUCAUGUGGUAGAUCCUUGGGUGGUCACAUGAGAUCUCACAUGAUUAAUGACAUUUCAGCUCAAGCUGAUGGUACUAAGCUCACCAAGAAAAAGCUCCCAUCUCUCCCCAACGAUAGUGGAGCUAAUAACAAUACCACUUGCACCGAAACUAUUGGUUAUGGCCUCAGAGAAAAUCCAAAGAAGACUUGGAGACUUGCAGAUCAUUCAAGUGAAGAUACUUCACUCCUUGACAAACCCUGCAAAGAGUGUGGCAAAGUAUUUCAAUCUUGGAAAGCUUUGUUCGGUCACCUGAAGUGUCACACACUAGAGAAAGAAAAAGUGUCAAACGAUAAUAGCCAGGAGGAGCAGCAAGAUUCUUGGACCAGUGCUAAUAACCAGAAGCUGCUCAUGGACAGCCAAUCUGACAACGAAACUGUUGCUCCUAAUCGAAGAAAGAGAUCAAAAAGGAGAAUAAGGUACAUGGGUGCUGAAAAUUCUUCUUCCCUGUCUUUUGCUAAUAAUACAUCCUCCUCUGUUUCUGAAAUUGAGCAAGAACAAGAAGAGGUUGCCAUGUGCUUGAUGAUGCUUUCUAGGGAUGUUGGUCUGUGGGAUGGCUUGAAUUCUGUUGCUGAGUCCUCCGAUAACAAUUCUGUGUUUCUUGAAACUAGUUUGGUUAGUUCUAAAACUGAAGGUAAGCCUUCUGUUUGCAUUGGUACUAAGACUGUGAAAGUGAAAACACUUGGUAAGAAGUUGGAGAAUGGCAAAUUUGAGGAUGAUGAGGAUUUCAAAGUUGAAAACAGAAAUUCAGAAUUCUUUGCUUCUGGGAAUUCAAGAAAAGGGUUUGGUAAGAGUGAUAAAGCCAAGAAGUCUGAGCUAGAUGAUGAGCGUGGACCUGAGAAUUCUAGAGUUAAAUUGGGCAAGAAUUUGACCAGGGAAACUAAUUUGGAUCAAGCUGGAAUGGUUCCUAAGUAUAGUUCAAGCAAGAGAAAGUUGAGCGACACUUUUGAUCCUGAAUUGAAGUCAGAUUACUUGAAGAAGAUAACAACCAAUGCUUCAGAUUCUGAAGUUUGCAAGAACUCUGAUAGAAACAGCAGAUUUGAGUGUACUACCUGCAAUAAGGUAUUCCACUCUUACCAAGCUCUAGGAGGCCAUAGAGCUAGCCGCAAAAAGACCAAAGGUUGCUUUGCAUCAAGAAUUGACAGCAUUGAAACUGAACUACCUCCUGAUCUAACAGCAGAUAGUAAGCUCAUCAAAUCCAUCAAAAAUGAGAUUUCUACUGAUCACUUGGCCAUAGAUUGUGACAACAAGGCUGAGACAAGUUAUGGGGCAAAGAAGAGUAAUGGACAUGAGUGCCCUAUUUGUCUUAAGGUGUUCCCAUCAGGACAAGCAUUGGGUGGUCACAAGAGGUCUCAUCUAGUGGGGGUUACUGAGACUAAAAAGAACCAGAUUAAUGCAAUCCAAGAACCAAUUCCACCCAUUAGAGACUUGCUUGAUCUUAAUCUUCCUGCUCCUGUUGAAGAAGAAGGCAACGGGCUUAUGGGGUUUAAUCCAUGGUGGAUUGGAAGCAGCCACAAGCAUGAAUCCCUUGUAGGUUUGAUCUCUAACUGAAUUCUCUAAUCCAGGCCAAGCAUGGUUUUCAAUAAAAAGGUUCAAGAGUGUAAAGAUUCAUUCAUUUUUUUUUAAGAUUUAGAAAUUAGCUAAUUGCUCUUAGUAGCUUUUUCCUUAGGCUUACUUCACAUUCCAAUCCCACAAAAAUCAAAUGUUAAACUCUUUUUUUAUGACUUCAUUUCCUUUAUGUUUUCCUUUUUCAUGGUUUCAAACAAAUCCAGGCGCAUUAAUCUCUUGAGCCUGGAAACUACAAAACUGUAAUUGAUUGUCAUUUUACUGUACCACAUUUGAAAUGUAUUCGCUCAAUUAAAAAGCUGUUUGUUUCCUG
rnacentral:misc_RNA from 1 species